UUUAUAAAAAAUUAUUUCAAAAUAACCAAUGAAAAACUGGUGUUUCUAACAGUUUUGUUAUAUUUCAGUCUUCUGUGAUGUAUAUGAAGUGUAAUAUUGAGAUGCAAACUCAAAAUGGAAUACAUUUCAACUCUAUAUCUGACAUGGUACAGGUGUCUCCUUUUUAAGCCCAUAACCAUGUGUGAGGUGCAUACUAUUGUUUCAAAGUAAAUUUGUUAGACUGCAAAUAAUCACUUUGUGUGACCCUGAUUAAGCCCACUGCAGUAAAAGGUUCAAAUAAACAAAUCUGGUUUCUCCUUUCACUACCGUUAGCUAGCGAUAGCUAAAGUUAGCAAAAGUUUGUAUAGCCCCUUUUUGUUUCAAGUUGAGUUACUUCCAUUACAGAUAAACCAUGAAACCCCAUUGUUGGUUUGUGAAAAAAAUAAGGUGCAUUGACACAUGUUUGCUUAUUCAACCAUCUAACAAGAAGCUUGUAAUGCAGCUAUGGUGCAGCUAUGCAAAUCCCGAUUUUUGCAUUUAAUGUCAUCAAUAGGACAAGAUAACACAACAACUAAAGCUCAAUUUGGUUAUCUUUCCCUGUGAGUUACAUUUACUGCACUUUCCAAUGUGUUAUAAGGAAAUGAAUGUCCAGUUUUAAGCUCUACAGUUACGUAUGCCAUGCCUGUUUUAUAGUUUAUCUGUCUUUAUGACCAGGAAAUAUGAAGUUGUAUCAGAAUGUUUAGCAAUUCACAUGACUGACUCAUUGUUUCUACCAAAUUCCCCUGGUUUCUUGUUCCUGAUGCUAAACGGACUUGGCCUACUUCCUGACUCACAGCCAGCAUGUUUCAGUUCAUGCUGUUCACUACUCUUCUGCUGGAUUUAUCCGCAGUGUCCAACACAGCUGUUCUAGUACGGGAUGGAUCCUCUGUGACUCUGCUCUGCAAAAACUCUGACAUGAGUAAUGCUUGCUGGAGCAGAACAUGUAAUUGGUUUUGGUGCGUUGAACCAAUAAUGGAGGUAUCCGGACCUGACAUUUUUGGCCCGACACACCCUGACAAAUACAGCCUCAGAGGAGACCUGAGCAUUGGUGAGCUAGACCUCACCCUUUCAAAUGUGAAGCCAGCAGACGAUGGGACCUAUUGCUGCAUGACCAGUGCAUCACCAAACCCAAUGACCUACCGUCUGAAAAUAGUUAAUGGCAAGUGGUUUUAAGUCAAUGUCCUUGAAUCCUGGCCCAGGGAAAGUACUCCCUUUCUAAGUAUGUGUUUGCCUUUAUUGUUGCUUGUGUCACUGAUCGUUGUAACAAACAGUACAUUUACUAUCAACUCACUGCGAUACUUGACUUUUGUUCAACAGCAGCAAAUGUCAGAUUUUGGAAUGUCGAAUCAUCACUAGAAUUGACUUGCCUGGUCAAAAUAAUGACAAUAGCUCAUCACAUUAAUGACUUCAAUGAAGCAAUAACCCAGAUUUGAUUAAGUUUAGGCAAGGACUCAACUUGGUCAGGGUCGGGGCUAUUGUUAAUUAAGGGAGAAGUUACACGACCAUUAGACCUGAUCAUGUGCUAACACCUGCUCAGCAGCCCUCUGGUGGACGAACUGUCAUACUGCCUCCCGACGUAUAACCACCUUGGUCAGACGUCCAAUAGCGCAGUCUGAGGCAUGCGACCUGGCUGACUUGCCUGAACUGUUUUAUUUUGUCUUUGUCACGCAGGUUGUGUGAGGGAGCUCCUGAAAGAUGUUUGUUUCAUUUAUAAUGACAUUAAGCACUUUGCAAGCCCAAAUGCAAACCAAUGUCAACAGAGCUGCACCCAACUUGAUGCCUGUCAGUAUUUCACAUAUAUUCACAGUCGACAGGAGUGCUAUCUGAAGGGCUCAGCUGGUGGCAGGGCAAUGAAUGUGAUACACUUAGAAGACAGAGUUUCAGGCUACACCCUUAAAGACUGCGAGGAAAAAGGAAAGAAAACUGUAAGCACGGUGAAGAUGUUUCUGAAAGUACCUCCAGGAGUUGACCUUAAUGACGCUCUGGUGAAAGAGCAAAUUCUCACACAGAUACAGGCAGAGAUCGCCCAGACAGAUGGAGGUGCAUCUGUGCGAUGGAAGGAGCAGUCGGAUGGAAAAGUCUUCCAGAAGAAAGAGAAAGAGGAGAGAAAGAAAGAACGUAAGUCAAAAGACACAAGACAUGACCACUUGAAUGUUCCAAGUCUGUUAGUCCAUUUGGUUGUUAUUCUGGGUUAAUACCUCAAUAUAAUGCAUCAUAAUAAAAAUAGCAAUACAUGUUACAUUACCUCUUUGUGUGUGUGUGUGCAUAAUUAUC